UAGGGAAUUUUCCACAAUGGGCGAAAGCCUGAUGGAGCAACGCCGCGUGCAGGAUGAAGGCCCUCGGGUUGUAAACUGCUUUUAUAUGUGAAGACUUCGACGGUAGCAUAUGAAUAAGGAUCGGCUAACUCCGUG
rnacentral:rRNA from 1 species